GGAGCUUGCUCCCCAUUAAUCAUGAGUCGCGAACGGGUGAUUAACGCCUACGUAACCUGCCUGAUAGCGGGGGAUAACUAUUGGAAACGAUAGCUAAUACCGCAUAAGAGUCGUUAACACAUGUUAAUGAUUUAAAAGGAGCAAUUGCUUCACUAUCAUAUGGACCUGCGUUGUAUUAGCUAGUUGGUGAGGUAACGGCUCACCAAGGCUUCGAUACAUAGCCGACCUGAGAGGGUGAUCGGCCACACCGGGACUGAGACACGGCCCAGACUCCUACGGGAGGCAGCAGUAGGGAAUCUUCGGCAAUGGACGAAAGUCUGACCGAGCAACGCCGCGUGAGUGAAGAAGGUUUUCGGAUCGUAAAGCUCUGUUAUAAGCGAAGAACGGGAGUAAGAGUGGAAAGUUUACUCUGUGACGGUAGCUUAUCAGAAAGGGACGGCUAACUACGUGCCAGCAGCCGCGGUAAUACGUAGGUCCCGAGCGUUGUCCGGAUUUAUUGGGCGUAAAGCGAGCGCAUGUGGUUUAAUAAGUCUGAAGUUAAAGGCAUUGGCUCAACCAAUGUACGCUUUGGAAACUGUUGAACUUGAGUGCAGAAGGGGAGAGUGGAACUCCAUGUGUAGC
rnacentral:rRNA from 1 species